GUGGGGAAUCUUGCGCAAUGGGCGAAAGCCUGACGCAGCCAUGCGGCGUGAAUGAUGAAGGUCUUAGGAUUGUAAAAUUCUUUCACCGGGGACGAUAAUGACGGUACCCGGAGAAGAAGCUCCGGCUAACUUCGUGCCAGCAGCCGCGGUAAUACGAAGGGGGCUAGCGUUGCUCGGAAGUACUGGGCGUAAAGGGCGCGUAGGCGGACAGCUUAGUCAGAGGUGAAAGCCCAGGGCUCAACCUUGGAAUUGCUGUUGAUACUGGCUUUCUUGAGUUUGGGAGAGGUGAGUGGAACUCCGAGUGUAGAGGUGAAGUUCGUAGAUAUUCGGAAGAACACCAGUGGCGAAGGCGACUCACUGGCCCAAUACUGACGCUGAGGCGCGAAAGCGUGGGGAGCAAACAGGAUUAGAAACCCCUGUAGUCC
rnacentral:rRNA from 1 species